rnacentral:lncRNA from 1 species
GGGUGGUUUAUUAAUCUUUGUUGACUCCUUAGACUUAUUUGGAUUUUUAAACUCGAUCUGAUCGGUUACUUGCUUAUUAUGUGAUUUAGACAAUGGGUCAUCUUGAUCUUCAGGUGUACCGACAUGAUUGUCUACUUGUUUUCUAGACCCUAAAGUGUGAAUUAUAUUUAAUUGGUUGAUCUGGGCUCCUUGUUGUGGUCUUUGA